UUCUAGCAAAAUACAUGCGUAUCAGGGCCUUCUUGGAAUAACAACGUUUGAUACUGUUAGGUUUUUUGUUCUUUUUUUCCCCCCAGCAACAGCUGACCGAAGCAAACGAGCAUCCGUUCUUAUCACUUGCAGGCUUUCAGUCAAGUCACCGGUAGCAUACGGUACAACGCAACUGCAAGGAGGGCAACAAGUACUGCAGAAGAAAUAACUGAACGAAGCGCACGAGGGUAUGAAAAUGGAAAUCACUGCUUCGAACCGCUCCAAAGUGCAAAUGUUGUACAGCAGUUUGCAUUGGUGAAAGCCAGGGAAACCGGCCAUGAGAAAUGACAUCUGACACCAAUCGCUUCGAAGGUGGACGGCUGCUGAUGGGAAGACAGCAAGCACUGAAUAACAAGUAAAGAAGAAGCAGUGAACUCAGUAGAGAGGAACUGGAAGAAAACCAUGACUCUGACGUACAGUUUCUUACGCAGCCAAAAAUCAAGUCAGAGAUUUUAUUGAUGUCUGCAUAAGAGACGUCAAGUCAUGGUCCGAAGCAGUGAUUGAGCACCUGGUGGAAGGCAGGGCCAACCCAGGGCCAACCCAGGUGAACGCAAUGCGGCCAAUUAGAAGGGGUGGAGCCAGGAUCCACCCCUUCCCAGACCUCAUUUAAGGGCCAGCAGGGGGAGGAGAAAGACUGUCUUCUAGAGCUCUCUGCACCCCUUGAGGAUUUUACAGGUCUUGUAAAGGUAAGGAGUUUCUUUCUUUUCUGCAUCCGCUGCUGCACCUCACUUCUCUGUUGUAGCCACUGCACUGUUGCCCCCAGCUAUCAAGCAUUGUAUAGUCCAACGGUGCUCACCCGUGCCCGGCAGAAGUCCUCUUACGGAUGUAAGUGUAAGAUGUGGAUGCAAAUUACAGCACAGCUAUGUGGAAAAGUUUUCACAAGUACGUAAUAAUGCGUGCAUACUUAGAUAUAGCCAUGCGACAAAGUCUAUAGCUAGCAGCGGUGACUAUGUUGAAAAGCAGAGCAAGUUCUCAGCCACAAAACACUAUCAAAUAGUGUUCUUGUGCUCUUUUUAUUCACUGUAGUUUCUGCAGAAAUAAAGAGGAGGCAUUGCUUCCAGGGUAAUCCAUGUAACUAUAGGGGAAGAUGGAAGUCAACAGAGUCAUGGAGUGAGAUGUUACUCAUCGCAGCUAUUGUAAAGGAUUUCUCCAGAGGCUAUAAUUUCCUUGAUGAACUUACUCAUUGUAUCUCAUUUUAUACACAGUCAAACUGGUAUGUUAUUCCACAGAUACCUGUACUCCCAUGGUUUGCAUUAGGUCCUGACUAGACUAGCCGUCCUCCAGGGGCAGCAUGUUCCUGUGGGGGACUCUCAGCGCUCUGUAAUGCUGUGCUUAGGGCUAUCAGCUUCUCCAAGAGAGAGAGCUUCUCUCUGAGGAUGCUGUAGUCGGCAUUUAGCACUGAAAGAUCGGUUACCCAAACGAUACCCGAACAAGUGGCGCGACCCGGGGCUAAGGCAGGGUGUCCAGCGUGCUCUGGGCGUGCCUUACAGGGCACGUGCACUUAGUUCAGCAGAAAAAUAGAUGCUGGGAAGCCAGGAUGCAGUUCUCCCUCUGUACCCUCACAGCGGCCCUAGAGACCUUUUCGGUCACAGAAGGAGGUGCCCUGAGAGCCAAGGGUCUUUAGCUCACAACUGUGUAUUUAGAUGCCAAUCCUCACCUAAAUCCUGUUUAAAUUCUGUUGUUAGUUCAAUCCCUUACUGAGUGUAGUUCUCUGCCUCUCUCUGCUUUACUUUCACUGUAAGGCAUUACUGUGCUGAGGCUCGAGGCCUUUUGGGAAGGGAGUACCAGCUAUCUUCAAUUUGCAGUAAGAAUGAUACAGCAUAGCCCUGAGAUGAGUCUGGGACUUUCUGAUUCAGGCCAAUGCAGCGUGACUGGGUCAGAACCACUGUGCGGUACGGGUAUGAAAUGUUAUUGAGCCCAAACAUAAGAAAUGGUAUGGAGAAUUACUUUCCAACAGCAGCGUGUGAACAGUGCAAAAACGCCCUUCAGUGGCCCUUUUGUUUUCUAUUGGCAUGUUUGGUGGCUGAGAGAUUUUGCUUACGAAUCUCCCACUCAAACACGAAGAAGGAAGAUAGGUAAGAGUGAGCGUUCUGGACAGACCCACGUCAGGAGACAGGCUUGUUUAAGAGUAUUAAAAUCACUGUUAUCUCGAUGUAACUAGACAGCGAGUGUGCAGUCCCUGGCUAUUUAUAUCUCACAAAUAAGGCGAGCAGACAGCUAAUAUAGCCACGGGCCAGCAGAAACAGAGCAACGAGGUUUAUUAACAAGCCUAGGUGGACGUGGCGCUCGAUACAUCCGUGUGUGAAAGUAUUUUUAUCAUUUACAUGUUCAAAAAGGUCACGGAAGCUUUAAAUAUGAAAUUAAAUGAAAUGAGACCUUGCCGAAGACAGCAGGAUCCCUCGGGCGCUUGGGGGCUGUCAGCACCUUAAACGUCAGCGGUGGAGAGAAGUGGACUGUAGCCACUGGGGACUUCAGGCUACGCAGGAAAAAACAACAGUGCCAUCUUUGCAACAGUUGGAGAAAGAAGCUGUGAUUAAAAACAGAAGGCAAUUAUGAACCGAUAGAGAAAAAUAACCACCUAAGUACGGACUUCUGUAUAUAGGCUUUUUGGCAUAGGUCGAAUGGAGUUGUUCUUCAAUUCCUAAAAUAUUGCAAUUGUAGUAAUUACAUUGGAUAGCGUUAUCUCAAUUCCAUCGACCUGUUGAUCUUUUCAACUGUCUAAUUAGCCAGCAAAUAAGCUUUUGGAGAGGUGUCAGUGGGCUUAAUACACUUGCGUAUCUGUCUUGCAGAGAGAGCUCUGUGCUGUGAAGAUGAAAUGAAAGAAGUAGCCCUGCAUCACCCUAUGUUAUGUAUUUUGAUUUACUCUUUUCUUGGAGGGCUGGGUUUCAGGGUUGGAAAUGUUAGCCAUGGCCUGCGUGCUUGCUGAAGCCCAGGAGGGGUCCCGGAAGCAUUGACGACACACACAUCUUGAGCUCUCUAUAGGGAAAGUUGCCACCCUUUUUCUGUUGUCUUCGGCUAAUAGCAUCACCUUUAAACAUGAUUUUUCUUUGGUGUUUUAAAAAAGUUGAUGAAGAAGCCCGUAUCUUCUCUUAGUUUCAUAACUUUGUUCAGAAACCAAACUGUUGCAAGGGAGGCCUAAGCAGUUCCAGUUUUCUCCUGCACGCUUACAGCCUAGAAGCCUUCAGAAAGGAGAGAGGGGAAGAAAGACAAGCAGUAACUUUGUGUUUCCUUCAAAGGCACAGCAACAGCUGCAGCGGUGACUGGCCAUUGUACCUACUGGAUGAUUCCUUGUGUGUGUGAACUGGUGGCCAAUGGGGCGGGGAAAGAUGGACUGUGUGGGUGUCUGUAAAGGGACUGAUCCUUCCAGCUAUGGCUGAGCUAAGGAUAUAGCAGGCUGUUAGCUGACACUGCAAAGUGCAGGGAAACUAUAUUUAACAUUGCUCAAAAUAAAAAGGAGCAAAUGUUAACUUUUGCUCAGAUUAUUUUUUUUGUUUUUGUCAAUUCUGAGAUAUUUUCUCAGAUGUUUGUACGUGACAUCUAUGCUUUCCUCUUUUUUAUUUUCCUCUGUUUAAAGUCUGAUUCACUUGUCAUAGAAUGGUCUGGGUUGCAAAGGACCACAAUGCUCAUCUAGUUCCAACCCCCCUGCUAUGCAUAGGGUCACCAACCACCAGACCACACUGCCCAGAGCCACAUCCAGCCUGGCCUUGAAUGCCUCCAGGGAUGGGGCAUCCAUGUUACAUCUCCACAUUACAUUUAAAUCAGGAUGCAUAACAUAAGUCUAGCUUGGCUAAGCAGCCAAAGCAAACACUCACUGCCCUUUCCCUCAGUCACCCCAAUGGGCAUUGGUACCUCAGUCAGCACUGAGAUAAUGGAGGUUCCCAUUCAAUAAUAGUCAUACAGAGCUGCUAAAGCUUAGAGGGACAGAGGGCUCUGCACUCAGUAAGGGCAAGUAGCUGAAAAAUCCCUGAGUCAUUUUUGUAAAGCCUUUUUUGACACCGAGGGCUCUCUUUUAAGUAAUUUCACUUGUUAGGCCAUGCAUGAACGUACUGGGACAGAGUUGAACUUCAUGUUACCGAUCAGCUAGAAACAUUAUGUAUUUUCCUUGUGGUAAAACUGAGAGCAAUAAGUCAUCUUCCACAAAUCUGUCUGCUGGUUAAUAUGCAAAAACCCAGAGAGAAGGAAUAUCCUGUGACACCCGAUCCCAGUUUGUUCUUGCUUACGGUCAGAAUGUUGGUUUAUCUCACUUGAAGCACUCUAUUUUUCAUUAGGCAGCCUAGCACUAUUCCUUUGAAGGUCUGUGAUGUAUUUUAAUGUGACCAGAGUUAGAUUUAUUUUAUUACAGGACUCAGUUUGUAGGCAGAUUUAGUCCAGUGUUCUGAGGGUGCCUUUGAGUUGAAUGGGAUAAAAAAAAAAUAGGCUUCGUGGGAGGGGAUAAAGGGCAGAGAGAGGCUCAGCUCCAUGUUUACUUAUAAGAUUUUGCUUCCAAGGAAUGAGCCUCUGAACUGUAACUGGACCAAGCAGAGGGAACCAAUCUUGGCCUGGAGCCUGUUUCACAGCAAGAGUGUUUUCUGCCUUCCCCUCCAGUUGGUGGUUGUUUUUUGUUUUAUUUCAGUUCAUGUAUUAACUAACUGCUGACUCUGCAGUAAAAAUGAAGAUAAAAAUGUUUGAGUCACCUGGAAACCUUGGGAAACAGGAUGCAACGUGACACAGAAGGGGUGUUUGAUUCAGGCCUGUACCUACAGGAAACAAAUCUUGAAGUUUGCAAAUCUUGAAGUUUGUCUCCAAAGGUGUAAUUUGUGCCCAGGUGUUACAGCUAAGUUCCUCCUAGUGUAGAAAUUGUUACUUUGAAUCUGAAAAUGUGAAAAUUGAGUAGAACCAGAAUGCAAACUGUCAUUGACACUGGUCAUCCCCAGGCUUUGUGAGACUCAGAGAUGCAACUGAAGUUGAGGCAGAGCAGUGCAGAGCUUAGAGACACAGGUUCCUUCCAACCCAGGCUGCUUUCUGAUUCUAUAAACAAGAAGCAGGCAUUUUUUUGAGUUUGUACAUAAGGAGAAGCUUACAUGUGUUUUGUUUAUUACAAGAAGCAAGAGCUUAAUCACCUGCAGUUACCUGCUUGAACUAAUGAGUAAAAUAACCUAAUAACUCCUGGAAACUCUGCUUUGCUGAUGACUUGACUUCAGUGUCACAGGUAAGUAAAUUAACUCCACUUUCUGUCCUGAAUUAUCUAGGUGUUGCACUGCAACAGCAGCAGAACUGCAAGUGAAGCCAAUUAAUAAUUGCAAAGUCUUGCAUACAGUAUAUAGUGUUUUUAUACAAGCAUCUAAUGCAAAGGCAGAAUCUGAAGUUAGUUCCAUUUCUUCCAAUUAAAAGAAAAAUGCCAAACAUGAUGCUUGCCAUUCACGUUAGAGUUCAGUCUCCCUGUGGCACAGAGGUUCAGAGGACCUAACUUACCCUAACUUAACCCAAAGGGUACUGUAGAGAUGCACUAGUCUCUGGUUUCUCCAUUGGUUUGCUGACAGUGGUUUGACUUACCUAUCUGAAAAAAGGAAACCAUCUUUUUGCAAGAGUCAACACCGCUCAGCUCUCAGGACAGCACUCCUACCUUCACACUCGAGAAGCCCUUCCAAACUCAAGCAACGCUUCUCUCCAGGAAUUCCGCUGCAACAAUGCAAACACUGGAAAAGUACUGGUUUCAUUUGGUGAGUCAAGCAAGUCUGACACACCAUAGUGCUGAAGAAGACAACCUGUGAAGAUAUUCAUUAUUAACUUAAGUCUCACUUUUUUCCUUACAGAACUUGCAGUGCUAAAUGGCCAACUGCAGAAGCGGUCCUCGUCCUCCACUUUCUUCUCCCAAGAUAAAAGUCAGUUCAGCAGCAAGGGAAGAAGUCCCAAGCACAGAAAUAACUGGUAGGCGCUACAUUUCUUCCCUGAGCCAAUACAAAUAGAGUGAUUUAUCCCUCCGGUGGAAGAAAGAAGGGAAAGGAUUAUCAUUUCCACCUCCCGUGUUUCAGAGGUAUCACAUCAAACUCAAGAUGACGUGACGUUUACAUGGAUCACUGCUUAGUCAUUCGAGAUUCAGCAUGGCUGAAAGAUGUCAAGUGUAGGGCAAACACCUGGGUAUUUCAAGGCGG
ensembl:lncRNA